ACAGCAGCAGCCGCGGUAAUACGGAGGGUGCAAGCGUUAAUCGGAAUUACUGGGCGUAAAGCGUGCGUAGGCGGUUCGUUAAGUCUGUUGUGAAAGCCCCGGGCUCAACCUGGGAAUGGCAAUGGAUACUGGCGAGCUAGAGUGUGUCAGAGGAUGGUGGAGUUCCCGGUGUAGCGGUGAAAUGCGUAGAGAUCGGGAGGAACAUCAGUGGCGAAGGCGGCCAUCUGGAACAACACUGACGCUGAGGCACGAAAGCGUGGGGAGCAAACAGGAUUAGAUACCCGCGUAGUCCCUGUCUCUUAUAC
rnacentral:rRNA from 1 species